rnacentral:pre_miRNA from 1 species
UUUACUUUUCUAGUUAUAGGACUUUCAUUCAGCCAGCUUUCAGGCAGUUCUGAAUGAUGGUUGUUCUGUAUUUUAGCUGUAAU